rnacentral:lncRNA from 1 species
UCUAAAUUUAUAUCACAAAAAUAGUACUCAAAAACUAAAAUGACCAAAAUAGCACUUUUCUAAGUUUAUCAUUUGAAAAUUUUAAUUUUUUUAUUUUUCAAAAUUUGAAAUCUUAUCCCCAAAACCUCAUUUCUCAACUCUAAACCCUAAACCCUAAACUCUAAACCCUAAACCCUAAACUCUAAACCCUAAAUCCUAAACCAUAAACCCUAAACCCUAAACUCUAAACCUUAGACCCUAAACUCUAAACCCUAAACCCUAAAAUCUAAACCC